rnacentral:rRNA from 1 species
AUUGAACGCUGGCGGCAUGCUUUACACAUGCAAGUCGAACGGUAACAGGCCGCAAGGUGCUGACGAGUGGCGAACGGGUGAGUAAUGCAUCGGAACGUGCCCAGUCGUGGGGGAUAACGCAGCGAAAGCUGUGCUAAUACCGCAUACGAUCUGUGGAUGAAAGCGGGGGACCGUAAGGCCUCGCGCGAUUGGAGCGGCCGAUGUCAGAUUAGGUAGUUGGUGGGGUAAAGGCUCACCAAGCCGACGAUCUGUAGCUGGUCUGAGAGGACGACCAGCCACACUGGGACUGAGACACGGCCCAGACUCCUACGGGAGGCAGCAGUGGGGAAUUUUGGACAAUGGGCGCAAGCCUGAUCCAGCAAUGCCGCGUGCAGGAAGAAGGCCUUCGGGUUGUAAACUGCUUUUGUACGGAGCGAAAAGGCUCUCUCUAAUACAGGGGGCUCAUGACGGUACCGUAAGAAUAAGCACCGGCUAACUCUGUGCCAGCAGCCGCCGUAAAAC